rnacentral:tRNA from 1 species
GCGGCAUUAGCUCAGUUGGUAGAGCAUCGGAUUGUGGAUCCGAGGGUCAGCGGUUCAAACCCGCUAUGUCGCCCCA